UUGAUGUGAGAGAGAGAGAGAGAAACUUAUACAAUUGGGGCACCAUGUGGCAGCAAAUCCUGAACUGCUCCUAUAAAUGGGAGAGUUAACCAUUCCUGAAAGGGGUGGGGAAUGUUUUCCACCUUGUGCAAAUCCAUCGCCUGCUCAUUACAAUAUUUCUCUUAGGAAAAGCUAGGGAAGAACACUUAUUUAUAUAUUUAGCCUAUGACGAGAACAUGGCAGCAGAGAAACAAGCAUAAACACACAAGCCACGUAAUUUAUGUAUAAAAUUUCUAAGGGACAGGGCAGUGGCCUCGUAACUGGAUGUCCAGUUCAGCUAUCCGGGUGAUCAGCUUCCUGCAGAUCUUCUAGGGAACCAGAGAACGCACGUUGUCGUGGGCAGUCUUGCACAAUAAGUUUAAUAAUUGGCAUAUCAGCAUCACAAUCGCAAGAAGGGGGAUCUUUCCAGUCUCACCAGGGCAGAGACGCUCCUUCCUGUAUCACACCUAAUUCUGUUCAAUUUCGCCCAGACCGAGCGAGGCAGAUCAAAAACCGAAGGGAUUUGCUAGAGGAAUCACUAAUAGUGAAACUUUGGAAGAACAGUUAAGAAGAACACUGGUAGGAGAGAGAAUCACAGUUUUGGGCGUAUCCAGCAACGGCUACAGGGCAGCUUUAAAAGGAUAUUAAUCAUAGUCCUUUGAAAGUGAGUUUUCUGCCUACUCAAAGCCCAGAGGAAGCAAAACUUGAGUAAUUCCACUUCCCAUCAGAAGGGAGAAGCAGGAAGCCAAGCUGCAGAUUUCAAUACUCCACCCAGGAGGGCUGCAGUUAUUGUAGGAGCCAGCCAGCCAAAUUCUGGCCACGGGGAUGCUGCGACGGCCGUAAGUGUGAAAAACGGCCCUAAGUCCCAUUUUUUCAGUGCUGCUGCAACUUAAAAAGUUCACUAAAUGAACUUUCGUUAAGUCCAGGGCUGCCUGUAAGGCUAUAUAGAGCAGAGGGCUCCAAUCUUGGCUCCUUUUAAGACUUGUGGACUUCAACUCCCAGAAUUCCCCAGCAUAACAAAGUUGGAAACCCCGCCCAUGCUGUCACUCCAAGAAGCCCCUGCCCAAUCAUAUUCAGAGGGACCCAAAUGAACCAAUCAGGGCCCCAAUCGCGGCCCCGCCCCCGAAAGGGCUGGGCCCGCCCUCCUCUGAUACCGACCGGGGAGAGGGGGCUUUGACGACGACCUGAGGCCGAAUUACGAGCAGCUGUAAGAACAAAUAAGGGGUUUUUUCGCCCCCUCAGGACCCCACCCAUCAAGAAAGAAAACAGCACAGGCUCCCUGCAGGUGCGAAGGACAAGAGGAGGGCAGGUGACACCCCUCCGUCCCUUUGGGGGAUGCAGCUAAUGGAGACUCUGGAAAAGGCGGCGAGACCCUUGGAGUGGUGAUGAUAGCAUGUCCCAGGCAGCCUCUGCAGGACACAGGGAGACAGCCCACAAGGAUCAGGAGGUGGUCAUGGACCUCUGGCAAGCAGGGAGCAUGGGAGAAGAGGACUCCGCUGCUGUUCCUGGCUCAUCAGGCUUCUUCGGAGCCCUAUAAAGAGCUGGCUGCAAUCACUCCUCACUUAACAAGGGGAUGAGAAGUUUGGUUGGAGGUCAACGUGGGACACUCAUUCAGCUCCAUACCAUGAAGGUCACGGCUGAAGAAAACUUUGUGGGCUUCUAUGCAUUUUGUGACUUCUUGAGGCAACACCAUUUCCGCUGACAUCCUUCUAAUUGGACCCAUGCAAUGCCUCGUAAAAUUAUGAACUUUCCUUCUUUUUUUUAAAAUGAAAACCUCCAAUUAGUAUCAUCAUCAAAAUUAUUAAUUGGAAGAAAGGAGCUUUUUCUCAUCAAAGACAGAAGCCUGGAUCCCGGGGUCAUCCGAUGAAGGGAGGUUUAGGAGAGACAAAAAUGCAUCUUCAUGUACAACCUACAAAGAAAAGUACGGAAUUUGGUGCCAGAAAAGAUUGUGACUCUGCCAACGUGGGGACUUCCAAAAGUGCCCUUAGAUGGAUUUAUAGGAGGAAUUUCACCUGGGGGAGACAGAAGCGAAAAACUUGAUUCCUUUAGUCCAGGGGUCUCCAAACUUGGCCACAUUAAGACAUGUGGACUUCAACUCCCAGAAUUCUCCAGCCAGCAUAAC